rnacentral:rRNA from 1 species
GACAGAGGGUGCAAACGUUGUUCGGAAUUACUGGGCGUAAAGCGUGUGUAGGCGGUCCACUAAGUCGGGUGUGAAAGCCCUGGGCUCAACCCAGGAAGUGCACUCGAAACUGGCGGGCUAGAGUAUCGGAGAGGUUGGUGGAAUUCUCGGGUGUAGAGGUGAAAUUCGUAGAUAUCGAGAGGAACACCGGUGGCGAAGGCGGCCAACUGGACGAAUACUGACGCUGAGACACGAAAGCGUGGGGAGCAAACAGG